CUUCAGCGAACCAUUUGUAAUUGCCGGUCAUCUGAAUGAGAAACCUCAAAUUAUUUUCACACAUUUGGUCACACUCUCCCUCAUGAAGAGGGCUUUUUUUUACCCCAGCCCACAAGUGAUAAAAGGCAAUGCCAAAAAUACUGUAUCACUAACAGGCGCGAUGCCCAGAAACAACUUUACGUGACUUCCUCCGAACCGCCCUGCACAAGCCGCAAAACAAGUUGGGCGCGACCCCCGAACAGAUGGAACCGGAGAACGCAACGGGUGCCACUCACAUAACCAGAGGCUCUUGACUUGAGUUACACGGAAGGGUGAUGAAGCAAGACCCCUCUUCUUUUGAUCCAACCCGAUUGUCGGAUUAGUUCCACAGAACAGGGCUUCCAGUUAUAGCCGCGCCAAACCCCGCCCGCCACCACAUCUAAGCAGGUAUGAGGGCCAACUGCUGCAUCCAAGGUUUCUACAUCCGAGGACGGGUCAGCACUGGUUGAAGGCAAG
ensembl:lncRNA